GAUGAACGCUGGCGGCGUGCUUAACACAUGCAAGUCGAACGGAAAGGCCCAAGCUUGCUUGGGUACUCGAGUGGCGAACGGGUGAGUAACACGUGGGUGAUCUGCCCUGCACUUCGGGAUAAGCCUGGGAAACUGGGUCUAAUACCGGAUAGGACCACUUCUUGGAUGGUGUGGUGGAAAGUUUUUUCGGUGUGGGAGGAGCUCGCGGCCUAUCAGCUUGUUGGGGGGGUAAUGGCCUACCAAAGCGUCGACGGGUGGCCGGCCUGUGAGGGUGUACGGCCACAUUGGGACUGAGAUACGGCGCAGACUCCUACGGGAGGCAGAGGUGGGGAAUAUUGCACAAUGGGCGCAAGCCCGAUGCAGCGCAGCGGCGUGGGGGAUGACGGCCUUCGGGUUGUAAACUCCUUUCGCUAGGGACGAAGCGUUUUGUGACGGUACCUGGAGAAGAAGCAACGGCUAACUAAGUG
rnacentral:rRNA from 1 species